AUUCCCCUAAAUUGAUAAAAUUACUAAGAGGCUCUCAUAAAAAAUGAGGGUUACACAUCGACAGAUGCACCUGCCUAUAAUCAUCAUUUCAACUAGAUAUCAUUAAGGUACCAUGAAAACAGAAAAGAGACAUGCUGCAUCUCAUGUCAUGAAACACAUCAACCUAAUACAGUAGCAACAGCUAAAGGUACUACAAAGCAAUAAUUUUGAGAGCAUUAUGUCUGCACAAUUUAGGAAAAAUUAAAA
rnacentral:misc_RNA from 1 species